GUGAACGCUGGCGGCAGGCCUAACCCAUGCACGUCGAACGGCAGCACCAGAGAGCUUGCUCUCUGGGUGGCGAGUGGCGGACGGGUGAGGAAUGCAUCGGAAUCUGCCCAUUUGUGGGGGAUAACCUCGGGAAACCGGGACUAAUACCGCAUACGACCUACGGGUGAAAGCAGGGGAUCUUCGGACCUUGCGCAGAUGGAUGAGCCGAUGCCGGAUUAGCUAGUUGGAGGGGUAAAGGCCCACCAAGGCGACGAUCCGUAGCUGGUCUGAGAGGAUGAUCAGCCACACUGGGACUGAGACACGGCCCAGACUCCUACGGGAGGCAGCAGUGGGGAAUAUUGGACAAUGGGCGCAAGCCUGAUCCAGCCAUGCCGCGUGUGCGAAGAAGGCCUUCGGGUUGUAAAGCACUUUUGUUGGGAAAGAAAAGCAGCCGGUUAAUACCCGGUUGUCAUGACGGUACCCAAAGAAUAAGCACCGGCUAACUUCGUA
rnacentral:rRNA from 1 species